rnacentral:rRNA from 1 species
GCUGGCGGCGUGCCUAACACAUGCAAGUCGAACGAUGAAGAGCAGCUUGCUGCUCGGAUUAGUGGCGCACGGGUGAGUAAUGCAUAGAUAAUGUGCCCCUUAGUUCGGGAUAGCCACUGGAAACGGUGAUUAAUACCGGAUACUCCUUCUUGCCUCAAGGUAAGUCGGGAAAGUUUUUCGCUAAGGGAUCAGUCUAUGUCCUAUCAGCUAGUUGGUGAGGUAAUGGCUCACCAAGGCUAUGACAGGUAUCUGGUUUGAGAGGAUGAUCAGACACACUGGAACUGAGACACGGUCCAGACUCCUACGGGAGGCAGCAGUGAGGAAUAUUGCACAAUGGAGGAAACUCUGAUGCAGCAACGCCGCGUGGAGGAUGACGCAUUUCGGUGUGUAAACUCCUUUUAUUAGGGAAGAUAAUGACGGUACCUAAUGAAUAAGCACCGGCUAACUCCGUGCCAGCAGCCGCGGUAAUACGGAGGGUGCAAGCGUUACUCGGAAUCACUGGGCGUAAAGGGUGCGUAGGCUGGCUUUUAAGUCAGGUGUGAAAUCCAAUGGCUCAACCAUUGAACUGCACUUGAAACUGAAAGCCUAGAGUUCAGAAGGGGCAGAUGGAAUUAGUGGUGUAGGGGUAAAAUCCGUAGAUAUCACUAGGAAUAUCAAAAGCGAAGGCGAUCUGCUGGGAUGAUACUGAUGCUG